rnacentral:rRNA from 1 species
UUGCCGGCGCUGCCUAUACAUGCAGUAGAACGCUGGAAAUCUUUAGCUUGCUACAAGUUUAGAAUGUAGUUGCGAACGGGUGAGUAACGCGUAGGUAACCUGCCUACUAGCGGGGGAUAACUAUUGGAAACGAUAGCUAAUACCGCAUAACAGCAUUUAACCCAUGUUAGAUGCUUGAAAGGAGCAAUUGCUUCACUAGUAGAUGGACCUGCGUUGUAUUAGCUAGUUGGUGAGGUAACGGCUCACCAAGGCGACGAUACAUAGCCGACCUGAGAGGGUGAUCGGCCACACUGGGACUGAGACACGGCCCAGACUCCUACGGGAGGCAGCAGUAGGGAAUCUUCGGCAAUGGGGGCAACCCUGACCGAGCAACGCCGCGUGAGUGAAGAAGGUUUUCGGAUCGUAAAGCUCUGUUGUAAGAGAAGAACGUGUGUGAGAGUGGAAAGUUCACACAGUGACGGUAACUUACCAGAAAGGGACGGCUAACUACGUGCCAGCAGCCGCGGUAAUACGUAGGUCCCGAGCGUUGUCCGGAUUUAUUGGGCGUAAAGCGAGCGCAGGCGGUUUAAUAAGUCUGAAGUUAAAGGCAGUGGCUUAACCAUUGUUCGCUUUGGAAACUGUUAGACUUGAGUGCAGAAGGGGAGAGUGGAAUUCCAUGUGUAGCGGUGAAAUGCGUAGAUAUAUGGAGGAACACCGGUGGCGAAAGCGGCUCUCUGGUCUGUAACUGACGCUGAGGCUCGAAAGCGUGGGGAGCAAACAGGAUUAGAUACCCUGGUAGUCCACGCCGUACACGAUGAGUGCUAGGUGUUAGGCCCUUUCCGGGGCUUAGUGCCGCAGCUAACGCAUUAAGCACUCCGCCUGGGGAGUACGACCGCAAGGUUGAAACUCAAACGAAUUGACGGGGGCCCGCACAACCGAUGGAGCAUGUGGUUUAAUUCGUAGCAACGCGAAGAACCUUAACAAGUCUUGACAUCCCGAUGCUACUUCUAGAAAUCGGAAGUUUCUGCGGAACAUCGGUGACCGGUGGUGCAAGGUGGUCCUCGGCUCGUGUCGUGACAUGUCGCGUAAGUCCGGUACUAUCGCAACACUAUUGUUACUGCCACAUUAGUUGGGCACUCAGUGGGACGCCCGCAAAAACCGCAGAAAGAAAGAAGAAGCCGGGGGCAGCCCCUAAUGACUGGGCCCAUUAAGGCCGCAAGGGGGGCCAACAAGCUGGGGGGGGAAAGGGGGGGGGGGGGGAGGGGAUCCAAUCCAAAUAAGGGGGGACGGCGGGUUGGAGCCGAACCGCAAUUCGGAAUCAAACGGGGGGAAGGUAACGGCCUGGGAAAAACCCCUCCCCCGCAAUGUACCCCCGAAAGGGGGAAAUUUUCACACCCCUUGGGGUAAAUAAAGGGAGCCCUGGGGUUUUGGGGUUAGGCCCCGCCCCGCCCCCCGGCAAAACAAAAAGGAAAGAAAAAAAAAAAAAAACCAGAAAAAAAAAGAGCCCGGCCCCAAAGUUACAGGGCACCCCGGUUCCCAGUGGGGCCC